AAGCACGUCUCUUGAACAAAGCAGCUGCUGUCAUCACACGCGCCACAAAUACAAUGUCAGCGUCUUCCGAGGCAGCGAAGCUGCAAACACCGCCACAGCAGCGGCAGGUGCACUACAUAUCUGAUAACGUGUACUCACUCGGAACUCUUAGUUGCGCCGUCUGUGGCCAGACCUUCCCGAUUCACACGAACGCGUGCCAGCGCAGCACCUGCGGCUGGUGCGGAACUCUGCACGAGCCCGGCACGCACUCGGCGCUUCAGAAGCAUCAUCGCGCCAUGCGCAGGACAAGCGAUGGUGUUAAAACGAGCAGCAAGAUGUGCUCCCUGGACACCAGCGCUGCUCUCUUCUUCACCGAGAAGGAAGUGACCGCCGCAGUGGAAUACAUUCGCCAGACGCUGGGUGGCACGUCGCCCUUUGGGGCAGCUCCCGGCGCCGUUGGUGGAGCCAAGAGUGCCGGCAUUACCGAGGUGGAUAAUCGCAUUAUUGAGGAAGCCUUCUGCGAGACGUGCGGUGUCCACCGCCCCUGCAAGACCUUUGCCCGGCAAACGCGUAGCGCGGAUGAGGGUCAGACAAUUUUCUUUCAGUGCACCAAGUGCAGCUCGGAGUGGCAGCAGAACUCUUGAGAGGUCGGCCGUGACGCCCCACGGCCUCAUCCCAGUUUCUCAAGUCGUCACGACAACAACGCUUAGGGGACGGAAAAGAGUUCGCGUUUGUCCUCGUGCGUUCCUCCUCCCUUUAUUCUUCUCCGCUUUCGGCAUCGGUGCUGGUGCAUGUUUGCAUGUGUAUGCGUGUGUGUGUGUGUGUCUUUUCUGUGCGAUCAACGUCUCCUCCGUAACUGUGGCUAACAGGAUUCUCAACCUCCCAAUAUGUCGCCGUCAGAGUGAUCAUGCCCCAUCACAUCACCUCUUGUCGUCUCUGAGCAAGACUAGAAAGCGAACCUCUUUUAUUGAGGGCGGUGUCUAUUGGGGGACGUCUACGAGAUCACUUCGCCCCGUCUGCCUCCCUCUCUUGCCGUUGUGAGUCUGCAUAUGUACAACGCGGCACUCGUUCCUCUCUGCUUAUACUUGUCCAUGCACUUCUUUCUUGACCUUGCGUCUGUGGUACUUUGUAUGUGUGUGUGGGGGGGGGGGCAACUCCUCUCUCGGAUGUGUCGCUCACCUGCUCGAAUGCACACGCAG
rnacentral:misc_RNA from 1 species